rnacentral:rRNA from 1 species
CACGUAGGCGGACCGGAAAGUUGGGGGUGAAAUCCCGGGGCUCAACCCCGGAACUGCCUUCAAAACUAUCGGUCUGGAGUUCGAGAGAGGUGAGUAGAAUUCCGAGUGUAGAGGUGAAAUUCGUAGAUAUUCGGAGGAACACCAGUGGCGAAGGCGGCUCACUGGCUCGAUACUGACGCUGAGGUGCGAAAGCGUGGGGAGCAAACA